GUUGGUCUACCCACCACUAUACAUAACUAGUGUUCAAGCUGGCGCUGUGCUAAUGCCUCUCGCCAUGUUUUUGCUUUCGCUGAAAAGUAUUAGAGUGUUAUAUUAGUUUCUAUAAUGAAUUUUAUAUUAAAGUUAGCUUAUCUAUAUAAAGUCACUGAGAAGAAAAGACUUAUUUACAUGCAUCUAUUGUUGUAUUAUGUGGCUUACUAGGACCUCAAGAAAGAAGAAAAUUGAUUCUUCCAAGAUCUGUAGUUCAGUGUAUAUAAUAUCUAAGAAGAAAAGACCUGUGUACAUGCAUAUUGUUAUCUAUAUUGUUAUAUGGUAGUGUUUUGUGGCUUACCAGGCCUUCAAGACAAAGAUGAUUCUGCCAGGAGGAUCUGGAUCUGGAUCUUGGAUAUUAUUAUUUUCUCACACGUGGGGAAUGAGCGCGCAUGCGCAUUACAUACAUAGGAAUAAUUAAAGGGUGUGUCCAAAGAGAUCAAUUUCACAAAUGGCUACUGCUAGCUAGCUGUUUUAACAGAUAUUUUCUGAGUAUUGUAGCUAACAAAAAGCUAGCGCUUUAGUGCAAGGCUAACUCAUAUGUUGAAUAGAAAGUUUGUGCGGACAGAUGAUGCUAUGAAAGAUUCUGAAGAGACUGCAACAGCCUUCAAUGAAUCUAUUCGUCCCUAUUAAGGAAGGUUUAACCGAUGGGUUAACUGCACUAGGAGGUGAGCAAAGGCAAGGUCUCCAUGCUCGAUCUGGGCUCGUCGUUAAGGAUGGCUUGAGUUCAUUAGGAGGUAGGCAGACACUAUUAUACAGUGUAUCUUUGCAGAAUUAUUAUGCAGCGAGCGACCGUCAUUAUUUGAAAUGCCAUGCAUCAUAUGCAUGUAUACUAUGGCCAACAAGGUCACACUACCCAGUCUACAGCAAUUUUGUAAUAACACAUUAGUGCUGAUGACAUCACUUGAAAGCGUAAUAAUUAGAUUGUUGAACGCCAAAGUAUUACACAAAAUUAUAAUUAUUCAUAAAUUAUGUUCAGAGUGUGAUUUCUCACAGUGAUACAAUGUAUUACACAAAAAAUAGAUGGCCAGGUCAAGUAUAAUUAUGGUGUGGCCCCAAUACACAAGUGUCAGCUUUUCAGUCCAUAAUCAUCCAAUAAUGUAUCCUCCAUUCCCCCCUCCUCCAUUCGGCGCUCCCCCACCUUUCUAUGGCCAUGAGCCAUACGUGUCAAGACAGAGGACCAGGGCCAGCAGAAGAAACAGGCCGUACAAUAGAACCCAUACCCCUGCAAGGCCGUUGCUCGAUAGUCUCGCACCAGCACCGUCGUCGUGAUUGCACGUGUCCAGUUCUUGACAAUUCAAACUUUCUUCAAGGUGAAGAUCGUUCAGUACAGAAAAGCUAUAGAAACAGCCUCAAACUCAUCUGGAUGAAGAUCGUUAGCUGUAGGUAAACAUGACUGUGAGUGAGCUAAAGACUGCAAAGACUAAGGAUGAGUUUAAUCGCAUGGCAAUUGCCACGAAAGUGGGCAAAGAAGGUGGUACAGAUGUCGAAGAACGGCAGGUGGCCAAGUUCAUGACCCACUCCAUAGAUGUUGCCAGGGCCAACUACCAACACCUGGCAACAACUGAGCAGGCUGUGUCUGUUUAUUCUUCCCUAAACAAACAACGAACUGAGACAGAACAACCUCACACAAAAAGAAGAAAGUUUACAGAUACCGAAGCUGAACUCAUUAAAGACUAUACUUCAAGCCAUAAGAUUUGUCCAAAGCAUCCAGCGCAGACAGAGCCUGUGCUUUCCUCAAAGAUCAUCAAAAAGAAGGAGUGUUCACAGAAAGAAGUUUCUAACAAAUACAAGACAAAGUAAAGACAAUACUAAGACAGAUUAGGAAGUAAUUGGACUAUAGUUAGCUUUUAGUGUGCAUGUACAUUGAUUAUCAAGUUAAUGAGUUAUUAAUUGGUGACCCUCCUGGCUAGGCUAGAACUUUGUCAACAAUAAGGCAGGAGACAUUUGGUCACAGCCCAUGGCUAGUAUGUGCAGCCCUCCUGGUUAGGCUAGGACUUUGUUCUUUUACAACAAUAAGACAGGAGACAUUUGGUCACCAUAGUAAUUAUGAACACUUACUUCCACAAUAUUUAUCCUGAAUAUUUAUCUGUCUCUGGAACGCGAUCUCUUGCUUCUGUCCCUGUCUCUAGAAUAUGAUCUCUUGCUUCUGUCCCUGGAACGCGAUCUCUUGCUUCUGUCCAUUAUAAUGAAGUUCAUUUGGUCCGGUUUGUUGACAGAUGAAAUGCAACGAAAUGAAUAAUGUCUGUGUGGCUAUCGGCCUUAUCUCAAUUGCCGUUGCUAUACACGUCGACCGUCAUAGUAGGUGAAUGUAAUUUGUAUUCCAAAAAUAAGAGUCUGAUCAUAUUGGCAUGUAAGUACUCCACAAGGCGUUAUACGGAGAACACCCAGUUUCAGUGCUCAUAACUCUCUAACAUAAAGUUAUAAUUAUACUAAUAUACACACAAUCAUGAUAAUUAUCAUGAUGCAUUAAGUUUGCUGCAUUCAGGCAGAAUCACAGAGAGUGGGAAAUUAUCGACCAUGCAUGCAUGAAAAAUUCUGUCGUGCAUGUAGGCCUGUUAAAUAUUAUAGCACCAUUUAUACUGUGUCUCGUUAUUGGGCUCGUUAUUGAGUAUAUUAUAGAGCCUUAUAAAAUUUGCCAUGUAACAUAAAAAUUUGCUACGUAACAUCAUUUUGCACAUGCAUGCACUUGUUGCAUGUAAAAGUGGCAUGGAAAGUCUCCACUUGGCAGGAAAAGUUACGUUGGGAUCGGAGUCGGUUACCAAGAAGAGGUUGCUAAUAACUAACUCAUUUCAGAGGCCAUGCAGGUGGCGGUCAUGAAAGUGUUUUAACGAUUAUUUAUGGACAAGCUUGACCAUAAUAGAUAAAAAAGCCAGCCAAGCUAAGCGUUAAACAGAGAAUAAACAACCAGGAGGGGGAGACGGACCAGGUGAACGAUACACCGGACACCAACCAGGAGGGGGAGACGGACCAGGUGAACGAUACACCAGACACCAACCAGGAGAGAGAGACGGACCAGGUGAAUGAUACACCAGACACCAACCAGGAGGGAGAGACGGACCAGGUGAACAAUACACCAGACACCAACCAGGAGAGAGAGACGGACCAGGUGAAUAUGAUACACCAGACACCAACCAGGAGGUGGAGACGGCAGUAGUUGUCCACCACGUUCCUUCGUGAGCUUGGACACAGGGAACUAGCUGACAACCUCGACAGAGCAAACCACCUUACAUACGACGGACCAGUAAACACAGUUUUAGGUGGCAGAUUUGUAGCAAAUAGUUUUAAACGUUCAGAGUCAGAUAUUAGAUGAAAAAGGGCUACCACUCCAAGUUCCAAAGUGGCAGCAUCCGUGACACCAGGAUCACGUUCAGAUUACACAUGCUACGAGAUCAAGGAGGAUAACAGAUACUCAAUAAUAUAUUAUUGAAAAAAGAGAAGAAAGAAAUAUUUUAAAAUGCUUUUUGCA